rnacentral:rRNA from 1 species
AUCCGCCUACGGGACGCAGCAGUGAGGAAUAUUGGUCAAUGGACGCAAGUCUGAACCAGCCAUGCCGCGUGCAGGAAGACGGCUCUAUGAGUUGUAAACUGCUUUUGUACGAGGGUAAACGCAGAUACGCGUAUCUGUCUGAAAGUAUCGUACGCAUAAGGAUCGGCUAACUCCGUGCCAGCAGCCGCGGUAAUACGGAGGAUUCAAGCGUUAUCCGGAUUUAUUGGGUUUAAAGGGUGCGUAGGCGGUCGGAUAAGUUAGAGGUGAUAUCCCGAGGCUCAACUUCGAAAUUGCCUCUGAUACUG